rnacentral:rRNA from 1 species
AUACGUAGGGGGCGAGCGUUGUCCGGAAUGAUUGGGCGUAAAGGGCGCGUAGGCGGCCCGGUAAGUCUGGAGUGAAAGUCCUGUUUUUAAGAUGGGAAUUGCUUUGGAUACUGUCGGGCUUGAGUGCAGGAGAGGUAAGUGGAAUUCCCAGUGUAGCGGUGAAAUGCGUAGAGAUUGGGAGGAACACCAGUGGCGAAGGCGACUUACUGGACUGUAACUGACGCUGAGGCGCGAAAGUGUGGGGAGCAAACAGGAUUAGAUACCCUGGUAGUCCACACCGUAAACGAUGAAUGCUAGGUGUAGGGGGUAUCGACCCCUUCUGUGCCGCGGUCAACACAAUAAGCAUUCCGCCUGGGGAGUACGGCCGCAAGGUUGAAACUCAAGUGAAUUGACGGGG